rnacentral:rRNA from 1 species
UACGUAGGGUGCGAGCGUUAAUCGGAAUUACUGGGCGUAAAGCGUGCGCAGGCGGUUCGUUGUGUCGGCGGUAAAAGCCCCGGGCUCAACCUGGGAAUGGCCGUUGAAACUGGCGAACUGGAGUGUGGCAGAGGGGGGUGGAAUUCCGCGUGUAGCAGUGAAAUGCGUAGAGAUGCGGAGGAACACCGAUGGCGAAGGCAGCCCCCUGGGCUAACACUGACGCUCAGGCACGAAAGCGUGGGGAGCAAACAGG